ACAAUGAAGAGUUUGAUCCUGGCUCAGGAUGAACGCUAGCUACAGGCUUAACACAUGCAAGUCGAGGGGCAGCAUUUUAGUUUGCUUGCAAACUGAAGAUGGCGACC
rnacentral:rRNA from 1 species